UCUCCUGCGUCAGCGUCCCGAGUAUCUGGGACUACAGUUUUCAGAGGCACAGACAGCAGAGGAGCUACAUUUGCAGAGAAGAUGAUGAAGGAAGACAGCAGCUCACUGGAGAGUGAUUCCUGUGAGGGCAAGUUUUCAGGGACCGAGCACAGCAGGGACAAGGAAGCUGCCAGAAGCCACUCCCACUGCAAACAGUUCCAAAAAUAAGGGAAACUCAGCAAGGGAAAGAGGGUGGAGGGAAUGGCAAAGAGGUGGGCACCGAGGGCAGCUCCCAAAAAGGACAUUAGGGCAGGGAUUAGUUGCAAGAGGAGGAGAUGGAAGAGAUGAAAGUGGAAAGAGCUGACUCUAGAUUGGGGCAAGAUCAAGGGGACAUCAAGGGUCCUACCCAGCAGCAACACUAAGUCUCUGAAAUUAGAAUUGCAGGAUCAUCCAGGGAGCAGAAUCCUUCUACCUUUAGCUGCCUGAAACUUCACCAAGAUGUACAUAUUUGGACUUCAGGAACAUAAUUACAACUAUAUCCCCUGCUUGGAUUGCCAGACCUCUCCCACGUAUAGAUGGGACUAUUAUCCCAGCUCUGCCACCCCUACGCAGUUGAAAAAAAUACCAAAACAGAUAUCAGCGAUAUGGAUGUGAUAUUGUGAUAUAAUAAGAAAUAUAUAUUUGGUUUUCCUCCUUCAGUUUUGGCACAGUGGGUUCCAGCACACAGCUCCUAAAACCCUUAGAAUUUCCUAAGUGAGCCAGGUGCAGUGGUACAUGCCUGUAGUCCCAGUUUCUCAGGAGGCUGAGGUGGGAGGAUUGCACCUGUGAAUAGCCACUGUACUGAAGACUGGGUAACAUAGUGAGACCUUAUCUCUAGAAACAAAUUUUUUAGUUAAAAAAAAUUAAAGAAUAUCCUGAGUGUUAGGAGGGGAGCAUCUUUAUUAUUUGUAAUAAGCCCCUUUCUUCUUCUUCUUUUUUUUUUUUUUUUGAGAUGGAGUUUCACUCUUGUUGCCCAGGCUGGAGUCCAAUGGCGCUAUCUCAGCUCACCGCAACCUCCACCUCCCAGGUUCAAGCAAUUCUCCUGCCCCAGCCUCCCGAGUAGCUGGGAUUACAG
rnacentral:lncRNA from 10 species